rnacentral:rRNA from 1 species
UACGUAGGGUGCAAGCGUUGUCCGGAAUUAUUGGGCGUAAAGAGCUCGUAGGCGGUUUGUCGCGUCUGCUGUGAAAACCCGAGGCUCAACCUCGGGCCUGCAGUGGGUACGGGCAGACUAGAGUUCGGUAGGGGAGACUGGAAUUCCUGGUGUAGCGGUGAAAUGCGCAGAUAUCAGGAGGAACACCGGUGGCGAAGGCGGGUCUCUGGGCCGAUACUGACGCUGAGGAGCGAAAGCGUGGGGAGCGAACAGG